rnacentral:rRNA from 1 species
UACGGAGGGAGCUAGCGUUAUUCGGAAUUACUGGGCGUAAAGCGCACGUAGGCGGCUUGUUAAGUCAGGGGUGAAAUCCUGGAGCUCAACUCCAGAACUGCCUUUGAUACUGGCGAGCUUGAGUUCGGGAGAGGUGAGUGGAACUGCGAGUGUAGAGGUGAAAUUCGUAGAUAUUCGCAAGAACACCAGUGGCGAAGGCGGCUCACUGGCCCGAUACUGACGCUGAGGUGCGAAAGCGUGGGGAGCAAACAGG